rnacentral:lncRNA from 1 species
UCCGCCCCUAGUAGCAGCAUGCACUUCAGACAGUUCAACAACCCAAAUGCUAGUCUCAUUUGUUUGCUUAUUGUAGACAACAAGUCUGGCCCUCCUAGGUGGGAGCCUGCUUGGGAUCACAGGACCACCUUUGGUUCUGGGAAGAAGAGAUGGUUGGAAUGGUGGAAAGAAGUAUGCAUCAGCUAAUGCCACAACAUUCUUUUCUGGCUCCAGGAGCACAACUUCAACAAAACGCAUGCUGUCUCGUACCUAUAAUUUUUGGAAGUGACCUGUUAAUUAUAUAUUUGAAACAUAUGUUCACAAUUUGAGAAAAGGAAUAGGUCGACAAACUUCAGGAGUUCUUCCAGCAGCUCUAACAGUUGCUACAGCCACAGCAAUUUCAGCAGCAGAUAAUGGGUCUAAAGGGUGGCUUCUCUGGGCCCUCGUCAUGAUUGGGAUUCCUGCUUUUAAGAUAGACAUUACUAUACUUUUUAACAAGACAGAACAUUACACUCUUACAAGUCUGCAGUGAAGUAGGUGAUGAUUUUUACAACCUGGCUAAACACCAAGGUUUAACUUCAAUAGAGAUCUAUUAAACUUUCCAAAUAUGCAAAUUGUGGUAGGUGCAAGAAAUGGCAUAGGAAUUGCUAGUUGCACUUUGUUGAAGUCAAUUAGGAAAUGAAGCAAACUGUGUACAAAUAAAGGCUAAUGACACAAGCAUCCCUGAAGUAUGCACAUGUGCGCCAGACAAUAAACACAAUGAACUAGCUCCCUGGAGUAUGAAAUAAGCGUGUAGAACUCGUUAAUUGUCUGUAUCAAGCUUUCCAUUUGGUAAAUUGGCAAAUUGAUACCACUGAACUAGUUUACAUGCGUAUUGUGGUUAUCUGUAGACCUCUAACUGCAACAAAUGAUAAGCUAAAUGAGCGCAUCAUACAUGUCAUCGUAUCAAUGCAAAUCUUAAAUACUAUAGUAUCCAACAGUAAUCCACAUCUUCCUUCCUUAAUCCCCUUUCAACUCUCAUUCAUCCAAUUUCAAGUUGCUCAGUGCAAAGUUAAAGAAGUAGGGUAACAAGGGGCAAUGUAAGAGAAGAAUACUAUUGCCAGUCACAAGCUAAAAGCCAUUUUCUAUUCACUACAUUGGCACAAUAGUUUAAUUAUGGCAUAGCCUAAUUCAAUCAUCGGAUCCAAGUAAUGGCUGCACAUUACCAAUUCCCUCCAAUAAAUUUAGAACUUGGUCUUUUCAGGGAUAAUCCAAACAUAGUCAAAACCAGUGAAAUGACAGAUAUAGCUUUGAAUUUAUAAUCACAAGUAUAACAAAGUCAAGCUUCUCAGUUGGAAUGGCACUCCUGAUUUCUAUUCCAAUUAUCUGUUGACACGAUUCAUGCUAAACACGGAUAAGAUGAAAAACCAUAUAAUUAAUUUUGUGAUCAUUACAUGAUUUCCUUUUCAAGAAAAUUAGGUAUUUUAACCACACAUCCGAAACCUGCAACUUGAAGCAGGUGGGCAGUUAUGUUUCUCGAGCACACAUCUCAAUGCAUGUCAGCAGGUAGGUAAUUAUGAAAAGACUAAUCCACAUGGGCUGGUCGUAAUGGUAGUAUCAUAAGCGGUAUCAUGCAUGCCAACUAGACUUUUUGGAUGACGUGGCGCACAAUUAAAUGAGGAAAGAGAGGAUGUAGUUCUUAAGCUUCAUGCACUAGCCAACGCAACCAAAAGUCCGAACUGAUGGAAAAGGCUAGUGCAGUCCACAUAUAAUGUAACACCCCCUCUCAACAACCCAAAUGCUAGUCUCAUUUGUUUGCUUAUUGUAGACAACAAGUCUGGCCCUCCUAGGUGGGAGCCUGCUUGGGAUCACAGGACCACCUUUGGUUCUGGGAAGAAGAGAUGGUUGGAAUGGUGGAAAGAAGUAUGCAUCAGCUAAUGCCACAACAUUCUUUUCUGGCUCCAGGAGCACAACUUCAAC